rnacentral:rRNA from 1 species
UACAGAGGUCCCAAGCGUUGUUCGGAUUUAUUGGGCGUAAAGGGUGCGUAGGCGGCGGAGUAAGUUGGGUGUGAAAUCUCGGGGCUUAACCCCGAAACUGCAUUCAAUACUGCGGUGCUUGAGGACUGGAGAGGAGACUGGAAUUCACGGUGUAGCAGUGAAAUGCGUAGAUAUCGUGAGGAAGACCAGUGGCGAAGGCGGGUCUCUGGACAGUUCCUGACGCUGAGGCACGAAGGCCAGGGGAGCAAACGGG